GCUCCGAUGACCUAGUGGUUAGAGCGUUCGCCUCUGAUUCGGAAGGUCGUGGGUUCGAAUCCCGGCCGACUUGUUCCA